rnacentral:misc_RNA from 1 species
GAAAUGCGAUAAGUAAUGUGAAUUGCAGAAUUCAGUGAAUCAUCGAAUCUUUGAACGCACCUUGCGCUCCUUGGUAUUCCUUGGAGCAUGCCUGUUUGAGUAUCAUGAAAUCUUCAAAGUAAAUCUUUUGUUAACUCAAUUGGUUUCUACUUUGGUAUUGGAGGUCUUUGCAGCUUCACACCUGCUCCUCUUUGUUCAUUAGCUGGAUCUCAGUGUUAUGCUUGGUUCCACUCGGCGUGAUAAGUUAUCUAUCGCUGAGGACACUGUAAAAGGUGGCCAAGGUAAAUGCAGAUGAACCGCUUCUAAUAGUCCAUUGACUUGGACAAUACUUUUAUGAUCUGAUCUCAAGUCAGGUAGGAUACCCGCUGAACUUAAGC